rnacentral:rRNA from 1 species
UACGGAGGGUGCAAGCGUUAAUCGGAAUCACUGGGCGUAAAGCGCGCGCAGGCGGUUUUCCAAGUCAGUGGUGAAAGCCCGGGGCUCAACUCCGGAACUGCCAUUGAAACUGUUAAACUUGAGGACGAGAGAGGUGAGUGGAAUUCCCAGUGUAGAGGUGAAAUUCGUAGAUAUUGGGAAGAACACCGGUGGCGAAGGCGGCUCACUGGAUCGUUUCUGACGCUCAGGCGCGAUAGCGUGGGGAGCAAACAGG